AGAGUUUGAUCAUGGCUCAGGACGAACGCUGGCGGCGUGCUUAACACAUGCAAGUCGAGCGGAAAGGCCCCUUCGGGGGUACUCGAGCGGCGAACGGGUGAGUAACACGUGAGCAACCUGCCCCUGACUCUGGGAUAAGCCUGGGAAACUGGGUCUAAUACCGGAUACGACCCGCCAUCCCAUGGUGUGCGGGUGGAAAGAUUUUUAUCGGUUGGGGAUGGGCUCGCGGCCUAUCAGCUUGUUGGUGGGGUGAUGGCCUACCAAGGCGACGACGGGUAACCGGCCUGAGAGGGCGACCGGUCACACUGGGACUGAGACACGGCCCAGACUCCUACGGGAGGCAGCAGUGGGGAAUAUUGCGCAAUGGGCGGAAGCCUGACGCAGCGACGCCGCGUGGGGGAUGACGGCCUUCGGGUUGUAAACCCCUUUCAGCAUCGACGAAGCUUCAUCCUUGCAGGGUGGGGUGACGGUAGGUGCAGAAGAAGCGCCGGCUAACUACGUGCCAGCAGCCGCGGUAAUACGUAGGGCGCGAGCGUUGUCCGGAAUUAUUGGGCGUAAAGAGCUCGUAGGCGGUCUGUCGCGUCUGUCGUGAAAGCCCACGGCUUAACUGUGGGUCUGCGGUGGAUACGGGCAGGCUAGAGGCAGGUAGGGGAGCAUGGAAUUCCCGGUGUAGCGGUGAAAUGCGCAGAUAUCGGGAGGAACACCGGUGGCGAAGGCGGUGCUCUGGGCCUGUUCUGACGCU
rnacentral:rRNA from 1 species